GACGAACGCUGGCGGCGUGCCUAAUACAUGCAAGUAGAACGCUGAAGAAAGGAGCUUGCUUCUUUUGGAUGAGUUGCGAACGGGUGAGUAACGCGUAGGUAACCUGCCUUGUAGCGGGGGAUAACUAUUGGAAACGAUAGCUAAUACCGCAUAACAGCUUUUGACACAUGUUAGAAGCUUGAAAGAUGCAAUUGCAUCACUACGAGAUGGACCUGCGUUGUAUUAGCUAGUAGGUAGGGUAACGGCCUACCUAGGCGAGGAUACAUAGCCGACCUGAGAGGGUGAUCGGCCACACUGGGACUGAGACACGGCCCAGACUCCUACGGGAGGCAGCAGUAGGGAAUUUUCGGCAAUGGGGGCAACCCUGACCGAGCAACGCCGCGUGAGUGAAGAAGGUUUUCGGAUCGUAAAGCUCUGUUGUAAGAGAAGAACGUGUGUGAGAGUGGAAAGUUCACACAGUGACGGUAACUUACCAG
rnacentral:rRNA from 1 species